GGUCGCAUAGCUCAGCUGGUUAGAGCGCACGGUUCACAUCCGUGAGGUCGUAGGUUCGAAUCCUACUGCGACCA
rnacentral:tRNA from 1 species